rnacentral:rRNA from 1 species
GGUGAACGCUGGCGGCGUGCCUAACACAUGCAAGUCGAGCGAUUUACUUCGGUAAAGAGCGGCGGACGGGUGAGUAACGCGUGGGUAACCUGCCCUGUACACACGGAUAACAUACCGAAAGGUAUGCUAAUACGGGAUAAUAUGCUUUAGUCGCAUGGCUGAAGUAUCAAAGCUCCGGCGGUACAGGAUGGACCCGCGUCUGAUUAGCUAGUUGGUAAGGUAACGGCUUACCAAGGCGACGAUCAGUAGCCGACCUGAGAGGGUGAUCGGCCACAUUGGAACUGAGACACGGUCCAAACUCCUACGGGAGGCAGCAGUGGGGAAUAUUGCACAAUGGGCGAAAGCCUGAUGCAGCAACGCCGCGUGAGCGAUGAAGGCCUUCGGGUCGUAAAGCUCUGUCCUCAAGGAAGAUAAUGACGGUACUUGAGGAGGAAGCCCCGGCUAACUACGUGCCAGCAGCCGCAGUAA